rnacentral:rRNA from 1 species
AGAGUUUGAUCCUGGCUCAGGAUGAACGCUAGCGACAGGCCUAACACAUGCAAGUCGAGGGGCAACAUGGUAUCAGCUUGCUGAUACCGAUGGCGACCGGCGCACGGGUGAGUAACGCGUAUGUAAUCUACCUGUAACAGAGGGAUAACCCGGAGAAAUCCGGACUAAUACCUCAUAGCACAUAUUAUUCGCAUGAAUUUUAUGUUAAAGAGACUCGGUUACAGAUGAACAUGCGUUCCAUUAGCUAGUUGGCGGGGUAACGGCCCACCAAGGCAACGAUGGAUAGGGGUUCUGAGAGGAAGGUCCCCCACACUGGUACUGAGACACGGACCAGACUCCUACGGGAGGCAGCAGUGAGGAAUAUUGGUCAAUGGACGCAAGUCUGAACCAGCCAUGCCGCGUGCAGGAUGACGGCUCUAUGAGUUGUAAACUGCUUUUGUACGAGGGUAAACGCAGAUACGUGUAUCUGUCUGAAAGUAUCGUACGAAUAAGGAUCGGCUAACUCCGUGCCAGCAGCCGCGGUAAUACGGAGGAUUCAAGCGUUAUCCGGAUUUAUUGGGUUUAAAGGGUGCGUAGGCGGUUUGAUAAGUUAGAGGUGAAAUUUCGGGGCUCAACCCUGAACGUGCCUCUAAUACUGUUGAGCUAGAGAGUAGUUGCGGUAGGCGGAAUGUAUGGUGUAGCGGUGAAAUGCUUAGAGAUCAUACAGAACACCGAUUGCGAAGGCAGCUUACCAAACUAUAUCUGACGUUGAGGCACGAAAGCGUGGGGAGCAAACAGGAUUAGAUACCCUGGUAGUCCACGCAGUAAACGAUGAUAACUCGUUGUCGGCGAUACACAGUCGGUGACUAAGCGAAAGCGAUAAGUUAUCCACCUGGGGAGUACGUUCGCAAGAAUGAAACUCAAAGGAAUUGACGGGGGCCCGCACAAGCGGAGGAACAUGUG